GGGUCGUUAGCUCAGUUGGGAGAGCAUCGCCCUUACAAGGCGAGGGUCACUGGUUCAAGUCCAGUACGACCCACCA
rnacentral:tRNA from 205 species